rnacentral:sRNA from 2 species
AGCUGUAAAGGAGGUAAUAGAGGAAGUUAUGCGAGUAAAACUCGAUCAGACCGCCAUUUAUAGUUCCCGGUGCUUGGAUGCGCGUCUUCAACAGCUUUCAGCAACUGCCCCAACAAGUAUAAUAUGGACUCAAGCGAUGAGACGGGUAUUUAUUCUUGUUUCGCAGGCAAUUGAACACAACGAACCUGUGCUGCUCGUUGGGGAAACUGGAUGUGGCAAAACGCAAAUUUGUCAAGCUAUUGCAGAAAUAUAUGGAAAGCAGCUUUUUACCAUUAACGCUCAUGUUAACCUCGAGACAGGAGACAUCGUUGGUGCACAGAGGCCGUUGAGAAAUAGAUCUAC